rnacentral:rRNA from 1 species
AACGAACGCUGGCGGCAGGCUUAACACAUGCAAGUCGAACGCCCCUUUCGGGGGGAGUGGCAGACGGGUGAGUAACGCGUGGGAACGUGCCCUUCAGUUUGGAAUAACCCAGGGAAACUUGGGCUAAUACCGGGUACGCCCUUCGGGGGAAAGAUUUAUCGCUGAAGAAUCGGCCCGCGUCUGAUUAGCUGGUUGGUGAGGUAAUGGCUCACCAAGGCGACGAUCAGUAGCUGGUCUGAGAGGAAGAUCAGCCACAUUGGGACUGAGACACGGCCCAAACUCUUACGGGAGGCAGCAGUGGGGAAUAUUGGACAAUGGGCGGAGGCCUGAUCCAACAACGCCGCGUGAGGUAUGACGGCCUUCGGGUUGUAAACCUCUUUCAGCAGGGACGAAGCGCAAGUGACGGUACCUGCAGAAGAAGCACCGGCCAACUACGUGCCAGCCGCCGCCGUAAUAC